UACGAAGGGGGCUAGCGUUGUUCGGAAUUACUGGGCGUAAAGCGAGCGUAGGCGGUUGGCCAAGUCAGGCGUGAAAGCCUUGAGCUCAACUCAAGAAAUGCACUUGGUACUGGGUGGCUAGAGGACCGGAGAGGAUAGUGGAAUUCCCAGUGUAGUGGUGAAAUACGUAGAGAUUGGGAAGAACACCAGUGGCGAAGGCGGCUAUCUGGACGGUUACUGACGCUAAGACUCGAAAGCGUGGGGAGCAAACAGG
rnacentral:rRNA from 1 species